UAGAUUGAAGCCAGUAAUAGGGUAUUUAGCUGUUAACUAAAACUUCGUGGGAUGGAAGCCCACCAAUCUAG
rnacentral:tRNA from 1 species